rnacentral:misc_RNA from 1 species
AAAAAAUUUGGAAGGACAAAAACACCGGUGUGAAUCUAAGGAAUGGGAAGAUUUGAAUGGGAAGUUUGGUAUUUUUUUUUUGAGGAAAACGAUGGAAAUUUGGCUCGAUUUUAGGCUCUAAUGCCAAAUUGAUGUAGAACAAACAAAAAAGAAUAAAGAAUUAGGAGAAAUCAAGGAUCAGUUCUUGAAGAGAGAACUAAUUCUCAACAAUUUUCUUAAUUUCAAU